AUUGAACGCUGGCGGCAGGCCUAACACAUGCAAGUCGAGCGAGCGGCGGACGGGUGAGUAAUGUAUGGGGACUGCCCGAUAGAGGGGGAUCACUACUGGAAACGGUGGCUAAUACCGCAUACUAUCGGAUAACCCAUAUGGGAUUAGCUAGUAGGUGGGGUAAAGGCUCAACUAGGCGACGAGCGCUAGCUGGUCUGAGAGGAUGAUCAGGCAAAAUGGGAAUGAGACACGGCCCAGACUCCGACGGAGGGAGCAGUGGGGAAGAUUGCACAAUGGGCGCAAGCCUGAUGGAGGCAUGCCGGGGGUAUGAAGAAGGGCGUAGGGUUGGAAAGGAAUUUCAGCGGGGAGGCGUUACCCGCAGAAGAAGCAACGGCUAACUCCGUGCCAGCCGCCGCGGUAAUUC
rnacentral:rRNA from 1 species